AUGCUAGAUGAAGUGGGAGGUGGCCAAAAGCCAGCCGAUCGGCCAGACAUUGUGGACAGAGUAUUUAUGAUCAAACUAAAGGAGCUAAUGAGAGACAUAAAAGAAAAGAAAUACUUUGGAGAAACAGUUGCAAAGGCUAAGAAAAACUCACCAUGCAUGGUGGACCAUAGAUGCACCAAGCAUUUCCCAAAAAGAUACAAUGUCAGCACUACCAUUGACGAGGACAGAUUUCCAGUAUAUAAAAGGAGGGAUGACGGAAGGCAGAUCAAAAAGGGAGGGGUGAUGCUCGACAACAGAUUUGUCGUGCCAUACAACCGGAACCUUCUGGUCAAGUAUCAAGCUCACAUAAAUGUUGAGUGGUGCAAUAGGUCCAGAUCAAUCAAGUACCUAUUUAAGUAUAUCCAUAAAGAUGACGACCAUGUUACAGCCUUGCUCAAGGAAAGUGGCACGGCAAACAAAACUGACGAGAUCAAGAAAUACCUAGAGAUGAGAUACAUAUCAACAUCAAAAGCAUGCUGGAGGAUAUUUCAGUUUGAUCUUCAGUAUCGCGAUCCAGCAGUUGAGAGGCUACCUUUCCAUCUUGAAAAUGAGCAACAAGUUGUUUUUCCAGACUCCACUGAUCUUGAAAAGAUAUUAACAAGGGACGGAUCUAAAAUCACCAAGUUCACUCAGUGGAUGGAGGCAAAUAAAAUAUAUGAUCUAGGAAAAGGAUUGAUUUACGCAGAAUUCCCUACAAAGUUUGUAUGGAAAAGCGAAACAAAAUGUUGGCAGAAGCGAAAAAGGGACUGCGCAAUUGGAAGAAUCUACUAUGCACAUCCCGCAAGUGGCGAGAGAUAUCAUAUGAGGAUGCUUCUAAACACCAAGAAAGGAUGA
rnacentral:rRNA from 1 species